rnacentral:rRNA from 1 species
UACAGAGGUGGCAAGCGUUGUUCGGAAUUACUGGGCGUAAAGGGCGCGUAGGCGGUCUUGCAAGUCCUGUGUGAAAUCCCUCGGCUCAACUAAGGAACUGCACAGGAAACUGCUUGGCUUGAGUUCGGGAGAGGGAAGCGGAAUUCCGGGUGUAGCGGUGAAAUGCGUAGAUAUCAGGAGGAACACCAAUUGCGAAGGCAGCUCGCUGGGACGUUACUGACGCUGAGACGCGAAAGCGUGGGGAGCAAACGGG